rnacentral:rRNA from 1 species
UACGGAGGAUCCAAGCGUUAUCCGGAUUCAUUGGGUUUAAAGGGUGCGUAGGCGGAAUGAUAAGUCAGUGGUGAAAGACCCUGCAGCUUAACUGCAGAACUGCCAUUGAUACUGUCAAUCUUGAGUACAUUUGAUGAUGGGCGGAAUGUGUCAUGUAGCGGUGAAAUGCUUAGAUAUGACACAGAACACCGAUUAGCGAAGCAGGCUCAACAAAACUG